UACGGGGGGGGGCAAGCGUUGUUCGGAAUUACUGGGCGUAAAGGGCUCGUAGGUGGCCAACUAAGUCAGACGUGAAAUCCCUCGGCUUAACCGGGGAACUGCGUCUGAUACUGGAUGGCUUGAGUUCGGGAGAGGGAUGCGGAAUUCCAGGUGUAGCGGUGAAAUGCGUAGAUAUCUGGAGGAACACCGGUGGCGAAGGCGGCAUCCUGGACCGACACUGACGCUGAGGAGCGAAAGCCAGGGGAGCAAACGGG
rnacentral:rRNA from 1 species